UACGUAGGGGGCAAGCGUUAUCCGGAUUUACUGGGUGUAAAGGGGGCGCAGACGGCGAUGCAAGCCAGGAGUGAAAGCCCGGGGCCCAACCCCGGGACUGCUCUUGGAACUGCAUGGCUGGAGUACAGGAGGGGCAGGCGGAAUUCCUAGUGUAGCGGUGAAAUGCGUAGAUAUUAGGAGGAGCACCGGUGGCGAAGGCGGCCUGCUGGACUGUGACUGACGUUGAGGCCCGAAGGCGUGGGGAGCAAACAGG
rnacentral:rRNA from 1 species